GUAACACUGGAGUAGGAGGAGGUGUGGCCCAUGGUGCAUGAAAGCUUUGCAAUAUCUCUGUCUAUUGAGCACAGCAUAGGACAAAUCUACAUAGAAUGCAUGAAAAUAGCCAUGAGUACAUCACCAAAUGUGUUGCAUGUGAUUGACUUUAUAUGAAGAGACCUCUCUGCAGGGAUGCUCGAUACAGUCAGUGACAUAGAGUGCGUAGCAGGACUGAUUUGUAAUGCUGUAAAUAGAAUCAGAGUGCACAGAGAACAUUUUCUUCUUGGCUCCAUACUGAUGACACACAGGCAGAAGGAGGGAUGCAGUCAUAUAAGAGGAUUUCUACGACAAGAAGCUAUUUACUAAUUUGUGGAAAUGGAGAAUAAAAGGCCUGUAACAAGAGCUGAAGAUAAUUUCCCCACAUAUUAAGCUUCAGCUCGAGUCUCCGGGGAUGACCUUGCUAGGAAGAUCUUUGCAAUAAAUCUUAUACCCGCUCUGUAUGAAACAAUCUGCUGAACACACAGCAAGGAACCAUUCCUAGCAAACCCAGACAAUUAUCAUUCCUGCAUCAAAUCGUUAGAAAAGAUCAAAUAGGGACAGGAAUUUUGCAAGCAGAGUUCUGAUGCACGUGGAGAUGAGAAAAUGAGACGAGUACUGUACUUUAACAUGCUAAGCCCAAUCAUAAGUGCAGUGAAAAAGGGAAGUGUCGCAACAUUUAUUAGAAGAUCCGGCUCAUAACUUUUAAGAUGCUGUUCCAUUUUGACUACCUAACAGUUCACAAUAUUGUUUUCACCAAUACUGGCCAAAGGUUGGCUGUCUAAACUAAGUAACAGAGCACAAAUGUGGCACCCCAGAACUGUGCCCCUUCAAGAGACCUUUGUUGGAGCUACGCAGCAGAAGGAGAAGUCCUUGGGCAGGAGGAGUUAACUGCAGCCCUGGGUUCGGUCAUUUGGCAUCAGGAGAGAAAACUGAUUGGCGAGAGGCUGCUGGGAGAAGCAAGGAGUGCUGGGAAGAAGAAGGAGGAGAGUGUGGUGUGUGCUGGCAGAUGGAGGAAAUCAGGGCAGAGCAGGAGCUGGAGAGAGCCGCAGAACAUUGGGCGGUGAGGGCAGGACUGUUAAGGAAAGCAUAGGGUGUUGCCGGGGAGUGUUGCCGGAGAGCGGGUGUUGAGACGCUUCAGCUGGAGGAUGGAACAUCACCAGGCCUGGAGAUAGGCGCGGACACUGCGGACAUCUUGAGAGAGAGGGAAAAGCCAUUACAGCGGGAACAGCCAGCUUGAAAUUCCAUUCCCUGGGUCUGAGUGAGUAAUGUUUGAAACUGACAGCCAGCCACAGACAAGUGUACUUUGCAGCCUUCACUAUCUGUGUUACUAACUAGCCAGUGAUUCAGAAGGGUGCAGCCAGCAGCGCCAUUUUGCAACAGCUAAGACCCGUAGAAGGAGAGCUAAUCUAAGACUGAGUUACAGUAAAUUUUUUGUUUUUGUGAGUCCAAUUGUUUCUCAUCCUGAUUCUAAUUAUUUUCCUUUGUGAUUCUAAUAACUUGUUUUUUGCAAAUUGGAUGACAGUUUGUAGUGUGAACUGUAGAAAAAUUGCAUAUUCCUGUUUCCCUUGAAUGUUAAAGGCUUCUUUUUGUGUUUUGACACUCAAGCAACAUUAUUUAAAUAACCAAUCAUCCCAAAUCCAGAGUUCAUUGCAGACAAAUAAAAAAGACUUCCUGUUG